AUUGAACGCUGGCGGCAUGCCUUACACAUGCAAGUCGAACGGUAGCGGGCCUUCGGGUGCCGACGAGUGGCGAACGGGUGAGUAAUGUAUCGGAACGUACCUUUCAGUGGGGGAUAACGUAGCGAAAGUUGCGCUAAUACCGCAUAUUCUGUGAGCAGGAAAGCAGGGGGUCGCAAGACCUUGCGCUGAUUGAGCGGCCGAUAUCAGAUUAGCUAGUUGGUGAGGUAAAGGCUCACCAAGGCGACGAUCUGUAGCGGGUCUGGGAGGAUGAUCCGCCACACUGGAACUGAGACAUGGUCCAGACUCCUACGGGAGGCAGCAGUGGGGAAUUUUGGACAAUGGGGGCAACCCUGAUCCAGCCAUGCCGCGUGGGUGAAGAAGGCCUUCGGGUUGUAAAGCUCCUUCGGCCGGGAAGAAAUCGUAUCAGCUAAUACCUGGUGCGGAUGACGGUACCGGCAUAAGAAGCACCGGCUAACUACGUGCCAGCAGCCGCGGUAAAAC
rnacentral:rRNA from 1 species